UAUAUAUAUAUACACACACACACUACAGCACCCCUCACACUGCACCACUACACACAUUACGCUCCAGAUACACAUUAGAUCCCUUACCCUAUAUGCACUCUUAAUCCUCUACACAAACACACACACACACACACAAUCUUCUAUACACACUCUGGGUCCUUUACACACUAGAUCUCUUACACACACACUGCACCACCUACAC